UGUUGUACCUACCCGGAUUUUUAUAAAUGAACCAUCUGUUUGUAGUCCUUGUAAUAGUCAAUGAAAGCUAGUUAAAUUACAGAUUACCAUUUGUGUUUCUUUGGCCCUUAUAAGUAUUAUUUUUCAUUUUUUACAUAAUUAGAACUUUUUUUAAAAUAGAGAAUUUUAACAGUUCAAAUUUGUUUAGUUGAUGUUGCAUGUUGUUACUAGUCAAAUUUUAUCUCACCCACCUAAUUUGCAUUAUGUUCAUUUUAUUCCUCAUUUUCUUUUUUUAGGACCCAAUGUUGUCUUCCAGUUGUGAAAGCACCCCAGAGACCCACUAUCCAAGUUUCACUCUAGCGUGGAGGCAGGGCAGGCAGCCCUGACCACAUAUCUCCUACACAAUUCGUUCACUUCGUUUGAAUGUUAGAGCCACUUGUGAUUAUUUUUUUGUGUUUCUAACUUAUAGUUUAAAUUUAUUUGUAAAAAGUUAAAGGAUAGUGGGUCUUUGUGUGGCUUUCCCUGCUGUUCACUCUGGCAUCUUUAGCAUUUUUCUUCUUUUUUAAUUUGAUAAUUGUAGGUCAUUAGCAUGCAUAUUGAGUUUGCCCUUAUGUGGUGGGAGUUCAAACACACAAAGACCCACUAUUUGCACAAACUAUUCUUACUGGUUUGUAAUAGGCUGCCAUGCUUUUUUAAUGUUAUUGCAACAUGUGUAUUCAUUUACAGAAUUCAGAUAAAAUUUGCUUAUGUUCUGCUAUUAUGUUUAAUCCUAAUCACAGUGAGCUCUUAAUUCGCUCAAUAUGUGGUUUGCCCUCAAGUGCACACUGUUUAUUACUUUGUAAUAUGCCACUAUGAGUACUGACAUUUAGAUUUGUUUAAAGGCCAAGAACUGGAAACAGCCAUGCCCUGUUUUCUGUGUAUUCGGGAUGGGAAUAACAACAUUUUGGGGGAGCUUUUUAAAUCUCAGAGAAGAGGAAAGUGGCCUGCUCUGGCAGGCAUGUGCAGAAUAGAGUGUUUCAUUUGUUUCAGUCCCAAGAAUGAGCCUUGUCCUAUGGUCGUUCCCUUAGAAUCUUUAUGUGCUCUGGGCUGAUGAAGAUACUGCAUCAUGUGCUGCAGCGUUUGUAUUCUCUUUCAAUGACCUAAAAAGGGAUUAUUUUUGAGGAAUGAAAGACUCCCAUCGUUGACUGUGAGAUGUGAAAAACCUUUCCUAGCUUAGAGCAUUUAUAUCUACAGUCAUUUUAAAGUCAGAGUUCAUUGUUACCUGUUUUAAUCAGGUGACUACAUGUCCCAGUAUACAAAAGGGCACUGGUCGACAUUCUUCUUCAUGUAUUUAGUAAAGAUCAUAAGAAGUCCUUUAAGAGUUUAAAUGUCCCGAAAACAGACAUGCAGGCUCCAGUCAAGAAUGAAUUAGAGUGAAGGAGAGCUGUGUAACACCUGGCAUUCCUCUGUGUUCAUGGAGCUUCUUUGAGGCUCAGACUUCUCUGGCUAAUGCCUGUUCUUCAACCACAUUGGCUACUUUGACAUAGAAAUUUACUUCUUUUCCUUGAAUGGAAAACACUUUAAAAAAUAAUAACAAACAUUAUUAUAAACUAAUAUAUGUGAGAGUGCUUAGUUGAAACAAAAAGGAGUUUUAGUAGACAGUAUUAUACUAUAUUUGAAAAUCAAGGAGAAGUUUUUACAACUUAAAAUGUUUACAAACUGCAGUGCAAUCUACUGUUUGUGAAUGUCAGAGUAUCAGGAAAAGUGUAUAUACAAUCACAGAGUCAUAUUUCCUCACAAAGUUAUUUACAAAGAGUGAAAUAUGUUUUUAUACCUCUCAGUUUCAGUUAGAGGCAUAUUUUGUGCAAUAUUUAUGUUAAUGUGCCUAUACAUUAUGAAUGAAUUAUUUCAGUCAUACAUUGCCUAAAUCAUAACUCUAUGAUGCUUGGGAAAGAAUCAACAGUUAAAACUUCAUAAAGUUCUAAUGUCUGUGUUUCAAAAUACAUCACAUUAUUAGGCUGUAGGGAGAUACGUAUGUGUGCUCCCUAGGGUGGCAAUUUCUAGUUACUAGACCACCUCUAUUUUUAGCAUUUGGCAUCCUCAUGAUACUUUUAUAAAUAUGACAUUAAUAGGAAAGCAAUAAUAUCAUUUUACAGAUGGAAUAACAGAUUUGCCUGCAUUCACUGAAAGAGUGCAAAGAUUGGGUCCUUGUGAAUUCAACUGACUCUUUCAAAUUGUAUUAAUUACCUGUUCUUGCCUUUUAUUUUCUGAACUUGCUGCUUUUGCAUUCUUUUGAGUUCAAAGACAGUUACUUCAAAUCCAUUUUUAAACCCUCGGGGUAGAAAUCAUACCACUGUUAAUUAGCCACAUUAUUUUGGUCUAACGUUUUUUCUUUAUAAUUCUGAAACUGAGUUUAUCUAAUAUAUUGAUGAAUUAUUUCAAAGGUAUUUUUAUAGUGCAAAUCACUUCACUUUUACACUGAUAAAUAUAAAUUACUAGGAAUGACCUUCAGAUAGCAUUUGGCAUCUGUAACCAAUCUGAAAAUAAUGUGUUCAUCAGGUACCUAUGGAUUAAAUCAUAUACUGGCAUAUUUAAGCUGAAUGUCAGUCUGGAAAAUAAAUUUACUAUAUUAACUGAAAUACCACUCUUUGUGUAGGUAUUUUGUCAUAUAUUUAAGAAAAAGCUAAAAAGAAUGGAAAUCAUACGACAUAAUAACUAAGUCUUUCUUAAAAGUGCAUGCAGUCUUUUGCAAUACCUCAUUCAGCCAAGUAUUUGUUCUCUUCCUCAUUCAGUAUAAGGCAGCUUUCAGUUUUCUUAGAAGGCAACAUUAGAAGGUUAGAGUUCAUCAGAAACAUAGAAUUUUAAAAUGUGAGUUCAACUGAAUGAAUUUGAAUUUCUGUAGGAGGUAAAGAAUCAAAAUACCAAAUUGCAAUAUAUAAUAAUCACAUUUAAAUUAUUUGAUUAAACCUUUUAGGUUUUCCAGAAAUGAAAAGAAUCAGUUCUAAAACCAAAGCUGAUUUUUAGAAAAUUUGAAAAUGUAAAUCAGCCCUAUCCAUAAUAUAGUUUCUAUAAAACUUUAUCUUAAUUUUAAAAUAAUAUAACUAUUAAAAAUGUAACUGAUACAUAAAUGUUUUGAAAUAAAACAUUUAAAAAUAUAAAUACUGUAGUUUAAAAGAAAGAAACUGGGGGAAGGAAAAGUAGAGAAAGAAAUGCCAAUUCCAGUCCAAAGCUUUAUUUGCCAAGUUUUCUUAGAGUGACUUUUACCAAUUUACGAAUUCUUGUAAGCAGAAUCUAUAAUGGAAAUACUGAAAGACUUGCCUAAAGUGGCAUUAUUGAAUGCUGCUGUGAUGCUACUGUAAUGUAAUAAAUUAUUAAAUUGUUGCAAAGUGCUGUUUUUGCCUUAAAAUUUUAUUUUGUGUGUCUUGAAAACUAUAGUAUUAAAGGUAUUGAGAUUGUGCAAAUGCUGGGCACGCUUGGCAUGAGAUAAUCUGUUUUUAUUUUUACAAAAUUGUAAUAUAACUAUGCAAGUGUGUUUAUUAAAAGAACACAAACUA